rnacentral:rRNA from 1 species
UACGAAGGGGAGCUAGCGUUGCUCGGAAUCACUAGGCGUAAGCGCACGUAGGCGGAUUGCUAAGGUCAGGGGUGAAAUCCUGGGAGCUCAACUCCAGAACUGCCUUUGAUACUGGCAAGCCUUGAGUCCGGGAGAGGUGAGUGGAACUGCGAAGUGUAGAGGUGAAAUUCGUGACGAUAUUCGGCGAAGAACACCGGUGGCGAAGGCGGCAUCCUGGACCAAUUCUG